rnacentral:snoRNA from 1 species
CCUGAGACUAGAGUCACAUCCAGACAGCUUUUGUUCUGGUGUGCUAGAGUCCUCGGAUAGAACCUGCUGGUCUUGAUUCACUGGCGAGGGCAAUCAGUGCCUCUGUGAAUGCCCAUAUCAGAAACAUGC